CCCGCGGCAAGACGGAAAGACCCCGUGAACCUUUACUAUAGCUUGACACUGAACAUUGAGCCUUGAUGUGUAGGAUAGGUGGGAGGCUUUGAAGUGUGGACGCCAGUCUGCAUGGAGCCGACCUUGAAAUACCACCCUUUAAUGUUUGAUGUUCUAACGUUGACCCGUAAUCCGGGUUGCGGACAGUGUCUGGUGGGUAGUUUGACUGGGGCGGUCUCCUCCUAAAGAGUAACGGAGGAGCACGAAGGUUGGCUAAUCCUGGUCGGACAUCAGGAGGUUAGUGCAAUGGCAUAAGCCAGCUUGACUGCGAGCGUGACGGCGCGAGCAGGUGCGAAAGCAGGUCAUAGUGAUCCGGUGGUUCUGAAUGGAAGGGCCAUCGCUCAACGGAUAAAAGGUACUCCGGGGAUAACAGGCUGAUACCGCCCAAGAGUUCAUAUCGACGGCGGU
rnacentral:rRNA from 1 species